UACGUAGGGGGCUAGCGUUAUCCGGAAUUACUGGGCGUAAAGCGUGCGUAGGUGGUUCGUUGUGUCUGUGGUGAAAGCCCCGGGCUUAACCUGGGAACGGCCAUGGAAACUGGCGAGCUGGAGUGUGGCAGAGGGGGGUGGAAUUCCGCGUGUAGCAGUGAAAUGCGUAGAGAUGCGGAGGAACACCGAUGGCGAAGGCAGCCCCCUGGGCUAACACUGACGCUGAGGCACGAAAGCGUGGGGAGCAAACAGG
rnacentral:rRNA from 1 species